rnacentral:tRNA from 1 species
GGGGAAGGGGCUCAGUGGUAGAUCAUGUGCUUAGCAUGCAUGAGGUCCUGGGUUCAAUUCCCCAGUACCUCCA